rnacentral:rRNA from 1 species
UUGAAAGGGAAACGAUUGAAGUCAGUCGUACCGACGGAAAAUCAACUUCUCGGGUGCCAAUCGUGGGUGACGUUGAGCCUCACGGUCUUCGUUGCUUGUGUUGUCGGUGCCUUCGGGGUGUACUUUUUCGUAUGGUAGGUCAACAUCGAUUUUGAUCGUCAUAAAAUGAUCGGAGGAAUGUAGCUUUGAUUUCGAUCGAAGUGUUAUAGCCUUUGGUAGAUGUGACGAUUGGGAUCGAGGAUUGCAACGAAUACCCUUUGGGCUAUCCGUCUGACCUCUGAAAGUCGCUUGGGAGUCGAAAGCUUGCUUAUGACUAUUCAAGUUGGCGGUCAACAGGUUAGAACGCGAUUACAUUCGUUAAGGAUGUUGACGUA